AUUGAACACUGGCGGAAUGCUUUACACAUGCAAGUCGAACGGCAGCACGGGGGCAACCCUGGUGGCGAGUGGCGAACGGGUGAGUAAUACAUCGGAACGUGCCCAGUCGUGGGGGAUAACUACGCGAAAGCGUAGCUAAUACCGCAUACGAACUCUGGUUGAAAGCGGGGGAUCGCAAGACCUCGCGCGAUUGGAGCGGCCGAUGGCAGAUUAGGUAGUUGGUGAGGUAAAGGCUCACCAAGCCGACGAUCUGUAGCUGGUCUGAGAGGACGACCAGCCACACUGGGACUGAGACACGGCCCAGACUCCUACGGGAGGCAGCAGUGGGGAAUUUUGGACAAUGGGCGCAAGCCUGAUCCAGCCAUUCCGCGUGCAGGAUGAAGGCCCUCGGGUUGUAAACUGCUUUUGUACGGAACGAAACGGUCCUGGUUAAUACCCGGGGCUAAUGACGGUACCGUAAGAAUAAGCACCGGCUAACUACGUG
rnacentral:rRNA from 1 species